rnacentral:rRNA from 1 species
UACAGAGGUCUCAAGCGUUGUUCGGAUUCAUUGGGCGUAAAGGGUGCGUAGGCGGCGCGGUAAGUCGGGUGUGAAAUCUCAAGGCUCAACCUUGAGCUUGCAGUGGGUACGGGCAGACUAGAGUGUGGUAGGGGAGACUGGAAUUCCUGGUGUAGCGGUGAAAUGCGCAGAUAUCAGGAGGAACACCGAUGGCGAAGGCAGGUCUCUGGGCCACUACUGACGCUGAGAAGCGAAAGCAUGGGGAGCGAACAGG